UUUCCGGUUGAUCCCGCCGGACCUGACUGCUAUCGGAUUGAUACUAAGCCAUGCGAGUCUUUGCAGUAAUGCAAGGCAUACGGCUCAGUAACAUGUAGUCAACCUACCCUAUGGACGAGAAUAAUCUCGGGAAACUGAGCAUAAUUCUUGAUAGAUCAUAAUGCCUGGAAUGGUUUAUGGUUAAAAUGAUUCGUCGCCAUAGGAUGGGACUGCGGCCUAUCAGCUUGUUGGUGAGGUAAUGGCCCACCAAGGCGAUUACAGGUACGGGCUCUGAGAGGAGAAGCCCGGAGAUGGGUACUGAGACACGGACCCAGGCCCUAUGGGGCGCAGCAGGCGAGAAAACUUUGCAAUGUGCGAAAGCACGACAAGGUUAAUCCGAGUGAUUUCUGCUAAAGAAAUCUUUUGCCAGUCGUAAAACCGCUGGUGAAUAAGGGGUGGGCAAGUUCUGGUGUCAGCCGCCGCGGUAAAACCAGCACCUCAAGUGGUCAGGAUGAUUAUUGGGCCUAAAGCAUCCGUAGCCGGCUUUGUAAGUUUCCGGUUAAAUCCAUGUGCUCAACGCAUGGGCUGCCGAAAAUACUGCAUAGCUAGGGAGUGGGAGAGGUAGACGGUACUCAGUAGGUAGGGGUAAAAUCCUUUGAUCUAUUGAUGACCACCUGUGGCGAAGGCGGUCUACCAGAACACGUUCGACGGUGAGGGAUGAAAGCUGGGGGAGCAAACCGGAUUAGAUACCCGGGUAGUCCCAGCUGUAAACGAUGCAGACUCGAUGAUGCAUUGGCAUAAUAGCCAUUGCAGUGUCGCAGGGAAGCCGUUAAGUCUGCCGCCUGGGAAGUACGUACGCAAGUAUGAAACUUAAAGGAAUUGGCGGGGGAGCACCACAAGGGGUGAAGCCUGCGGUUCAAUUGGAGUCAACGCCGGA
rnacentral:rRNA from 1 species